UACGUAGGGUGCAAGCGUUGUCCGGAAUUAUUGGGCGUAAAGAGCUCGUAGGCGGUUUGUUGCGUCGGCUGUGAAAUCCCGAGGCUCAACCUCGGGUCUGCAGUCGAUACGAGCAAACUAGAGUGUUGCAGGGGAGACUGGAAUUCCUGGUGUAGCGGUGAAAUGCGCAGAUAUCAGGAGGAACACCGGUGGCGAAAGCGACUUCCUGGACCAAUACUGACGCUCAUGUGCGAAAGCGUGGGGAGCAAACAGG
rnacentral:rRNA from 1 species